UUCACCCCUAUCAUCUGUCCCACCUUAGACGGCUGGCUCCAAAAGGUUACCCCACCGGCUUCGGGUGUUACAAACUCUCGUGGUGUGACGGGCGGUGUGUACAAGACCCGGGAACGUAUUCACCGUGGCAUGCUGAUCCACGAUUACUAGCGAUNCCGGCUUCAUGUAGGCGAGUUGCAGCCUACNGUCCGAACUGAGAAUGGUUUUAUGGGAUUGGCUUGACCUCACGGUUUUGCAGCCCUUUGUACCAUCCAUUGUAGCACGUGUGUAGCCCAGGUCAUAAGGGGCAUGAUGAUUUGACGUCAUCCCCACCUUCCUCCGGUUUGUCACCGGCAGUCUCCUUAGAGUGCCCAACUUAAUGCUGGCAACUAAGAAUAAGGGUUGCGCUCGUUGCGGGACUUAACCCACAUCUCACGACACGAGCUGACGACAACCAUGCACCACCUGUCACUCUGNCCCCCGAAGGGGA
rnacentral:rRNA from 1 species